UGGAGGUGAGGGUCACGCGGCACUCUGUAAAGAGAGGAGCAAAGUGUUAAGUUCUCUUUUGAUUGCAGUCGACGAGCUCCAGAGAUAGACAGCGAGAGUUUACUGAGACGUCUACAGCAGGGUGAGGAAUUUUCUCAGCUCUUUUAAGACACACAACAACAAUGUGGAGACACAGAGGACAGCUUAAAGAAUUACACAAGGACCAGCACUCCCUCUGGUUUGAUGGGAUGGUACGGUGCCAGAUUCUCUCCACUGCCCCGCAUCACUCCGUCCUGGAAGGCUUCCCACAUCCCAUCACGGGUGGUCCACGUGAUGCAGAGGUUCCACAAAGUAAGCUUUACUUUCCCUCUGUACACACUUCACUGCUUCACUUCUGACUGCUGAGAAUCAAGAUGUGCUGCCAGGUAACUGAAAUCUCAGCUCAGCAGCUACGGUGUUUCUGCUGCACUGACAUCUCCAUUUCAACCAUCCCACAGAGAAGGAGAUGAAGGAGGAGUCAGGAGGGAGCUGUCCUAUGGGACGCCUACGCUGUGGAGCAGUCUGCUGUUAUGCAUGUAAUCCCACUGGGGACAGCAUGGGAGGGGUGGAGAAUGGAGACAAGCAGAAAAAGAUAAGAGAGUUUAUCCAUUCAUACAUGCACACAGGCAGCUCCAGUCAUAUGAGCAGCAGUCUCAACUCUCUCUCUCUCUCUCUCUCUCACACACACACACACACACACACACUUAUUGUAAAUCACUUCAUCUGAGGCCAUUAUUUCCCUCGUCCAUGCAUGUAGAUGAGUCACAGGACUGAAUGAUUCAGUCUCGACCUUCUACUCUAUAAUCAAUUGCUCAAUUGCUCAUAACUUCUCAGACUGGGACAUUGUUUUAUUGAUGUCCAGCCACACCAGAGAGUCAUUC